rnacentral:rRNA from 1 species
UACGUAGGGGGCGAGCGUUGUCCGAAGUUACUGGGCGUAAAGCGCGCGUAGGCGGGGGGUUAAGUGGGAGGUGAAAGGCUGGGGCUCAACCCCAUGCAGUGCCUCCCAUACUGGCCUUCUUGAGGGCGGUAGGGAGAAGUGGAAUGGCUGGUGUAGCGGUGAAAUGCGUAGAUAUCAGUCGGAACACCGGUGGCGAAGGCGGCUUCUUGGGCCGUUCCUGACGCCGAGGCGCGAAAGCUGGGGGAGCGAACGGG